rnacentral:lncRNA from 1 species
AUCAGAUCGGCGGAAAAAUAACCAUCCAUAGUGGAAUUAGUACCUAACAUAUAGUAUAAUAACAAGUUAAGCUACAUUCGUAAUCAAGAGCAGAGCUAGGAUAUACCGUACGUGUUUGGCCAAAUUCAGUAACUUUGGUCACACCCUAUGUUUCUUUUGCAUAAUUACUAGAAUUCCGAACCCAUAAUCGUCAAAUCCUAACUCCGCCUUUACUCACAGUAUGAAGAUGUUUUACUGUAUUGCGAGUAUAUAUAAGUUAAAUUUUGGAGAUAUUAAAAUGUUAUUCACGUACUCCCCUAUGCAAGAAUAUUUACCCUUCAUAGUGGUUAAAGAGAUUUUCACUCGAUGAAAACUAAUGUAGAAGUCGGAAACAACCUCUCUAUUUCUUCGGAGGUAGCGGUAUGGACUGCGUACAUCUUACCCUCCUCAGACCCCACUUUGUGGGAAUAUGCUAAGUUUGUUGCUGUUGUUGAAAACUAAUGAAGAAGAAAUCAUGCAAAAAAAUUUGCUUUUAUAACAGAUAUAUACUAUAUAAGUGUUAGUUCAUUUUGUUAUUUUAAUACUUUGUUCCAAAAUUUAUAAAGCCCAAUGUCCUACUUGAAAUGAAGAGAAUAUCUAAGAUAUUUUUGCUCAAAUAUCUUUUGUCAAAUGCCCCAUAUACUACAAAAAAAAGAAGAAGCAAUAUUUACUUAAAGACCUUAAUAUAAAGUGCAUUAACUAUUACUAUAGUAUAUAUUCUUAAAGUUUCAUUUAUACGAAUCAAGAAUCAUGUGGACUUUCACUUUCAAAAUUUAGGAAAUUGGACCUUAUUAUUAUGCAAUCAACAAAUAAAGGACUAUACUUUAUAUAUAUAUGCCAAUCAAUUCCAUUAAUGCAAACUUAUAAUAUGAUAAUAAUAAAUAAAAAUUAAAUUAAAACUUA